UACGUAGGGUGCGAGCGUUGUCCGGAAUUAUUGGGCGUAAAGAGCUUGUAGGCGGUUUGUCGCGUCUGCCGUGAAAAUCCGGGGCUCAACCCCGGACUUGCGGUGGGUACGGGGCAGACUAGAGUGUGGUAGGGGAGACUGGAAUUCCUGGUGUAGCGGUGAAAUGCGCAGAUAUCAGGAGGAACACCGAUGGCGAAGGCAGGUCUCUGGGCCACUACUGACGCUGAGAAGCGAAAGCAUGGGGAGCGAACAGG
rnacentral:rRNA from 1 species